rnacentral:rRNA from 1 species
GACAGAGGGUGCAAACGUUGUUCGGAUUUACUGGGCGUAAAGCGCGUGUAGGCGGCUUCGUAAGUUGGAUGUGAAAUCCCACGGCUCAACCGUGGACGUGCAUCCAAAACUACGUCGCUGGAGUCUCGGAGAGGAAGGUGGAAUGCUUGGUGUAGAGGUGAAAUUCGUAGAUAUCAAGCAGAACACCUGCGGCGAAGGCGGCCUUCUGGACGAUGACUGACGCUGAGACGCGAAAGCGUGGGGAGCAAACGGG